rnacentral:tRNA from 1 species
UGGAGUGUAGCUCAGUGGUAGAGUGCCUGCUUAGUAUGCAUGAGGUCCUGGGCUCAAUCCCCAGUAUCCCCA